rnacentral:tRNA from 1 species
AGGUAGCGGUGGACGGCUCCGGCGGGUGUCGUCGCGGUCGUGACGCGAUGGCCCGUGGCCGGGUCGGGUUCGCCGUAUUCCAGGUUCAGCGCCAUGUG